rnacentral:rRNA from 1 species
UACGGGGGAUGCGAGCGUUAUCCGGAUUUAUUGGGUUUAAAGGGCGCGUAGGCGGGACGCCAAGUCAGCGGUAAAAGACUGCAGCUAAACUGUAGCACGCCGUUGAAACUGGCGCCCUCGAGACGAGACGAGGGAGGCGGAACAAGUGAAGUAGCGGUGAAAUGCUUAGAUAUCACUUGGAACCCCGAUAGCGAAGGCAGCUUCCCAGGCUCGUUCUGACGCUGAUGCGCGAGAGCGUGGGUAGCGAACAGG